rnacentral:tRNA from 1 species
AUUUAAAUAGUUUAAUUAAAAUAUUAAUUUGUGGAAUUAAAGAUUAUAAAUU